rnacentral:rRNA from 1 species
GAUGAACGCUAGCUACAGGCUUAACACAUGCAAGUCGAGGGGCAGCGGGAUUGAAGCUUGCUUCAAUUGCCGGCGACUGGCGCACGGGUGAGUAACGCGUAUCCAACCUUCCGUACACUCAGGGAUAGCCUUUCGGAAGAAAGAUUAAUACCUGAUGGUAUGAUGAGAUUGCAUGAUAUCAUCAUUAAAGAUUUAUCGGUGUACGAUGGGGAUGCGUUCCAUUAGGUAGUAGGCGGGGUAACGGCCCACCUAGCCAACGAUGGAUAGGGGUUCUGAGAGGAAGGUCCCCCACAUUGGAACUGGGACACGGUCCAAACACCUACGGGAGGCAGCAGUGAGGAAUAUUGGACAAUGGACGAGAGUCUGAACCAGCCAAGUAGCGUGAAGGAUGAAGGUCCUACGGAUUGUAAACUUCUUUUAUAAGGGAAUAAACCCUCCCACGUGUGGGAGCUUGUAUGUACCGUAUGAAUAAGCAUCGGCUAACUCCGUG